ACACGUACUGUGCGAACGUUAUUCGGAAUCACUGGGCUUAAAGGGUAUGUAGGCGGUUAAUCAAGUCAGAUGUGAAAUGCCACAGCUCAACUGUGGCACUGCGUUUGAAACUGAUUGGCUAGAGUAUUCCAGAGGUAUGCGGAACUGCCAGUGGAGCGGUGAAAUGCGUUGAUAUUGGCAGGAACACCAGAGGCGAAGGCGGCAUACUGGGGGAUAACUGACGCUGAGAUACGAAAGCCAGGGUAGCAAACGGGAUUAGAUACCCCGGUAGUCUUAGCUGUAAACGAUGAGCACUUGAUUGGAGGGUCCUCCAUAGCCUUCCAGUCGUAGCGAAAGUGUUAAGUGCUCCGCCUGGGGGAGUAUGGUCGCAAGGCUGAAACUCAAAGAAAUUGACGGGGGCUCACACAAGCGGUGGAGGAUGUGGCUUAAUUCGAGGCUACGCGAAGAACCUUAUCCUAGUCUUGACAUGUAUGGAUUAACCCUGUG
rnacentral:rRNA from 1 species